GGCAAUGGACGCAAGUCUGAUGGAGCAACGCCGCGUGAGUGAAGAAGGUCUUCGGAUCGUAAAGCUCUGUUGUAAGAGAAGAACGAGUGUGAGAGUGGAAAGUUCACACUGUGACGGUAACUUACCAGAAAGGGACGGCUAACUACGUGCCAGCAG
rnacentral:rRNA from 1 species